CCUACGGGUUGCAGCAGUGGGGAAUAUUGCACAAUGGGCGCAAGCCUGAUGCAGCCAUGCCGCGUGUGUGAAGAAGGCCUUCGGGUUGUAAAGCACUUUCAGCGGGGAGGAAGGCGGUGAGGUUAAUAACCUCAUCGAAUGACGUUACCCGCAGAAGAAGCACCGGCUAACUCCGUGCCAGCAGCCGCGGUAAUACGGAGGGUGCAAGCGUUAAUCGGAAUUACUGGGCGUAAAGCGCACGCAGGCGGUCUGUCAAGUCGGAUGUGAAAUCCCCGGGCUCAACCUGGGAACUGCAUUCGAAACUGGCAGGCUAGAGUCUUGUAGAGGGGGGUAGAAUUCCAGGUGUAGCGGUGAAAUGCGUAGAGAUCCGGAGGAAUACCGGUGGCGAAGGCGGCCCCCUGGACAAAGACUGACGCUCAGGUGCGAAAGCGUGGGGAGCAAACAGGAUUAGAUACCCGUGUAGUC
rnacentral:rRNA from 1 species